AGAGUUUGAUCAUGGCUCAGAUUGAACGCUGGCGGAAUGCUUUACACAUGCAAGUCGAGCGGCAGCGGGGGCAACCCUGGCGGCGAGCGGCGAACGGGUGAGUAACACAUCGGAACGUGUCCUUAAGUGGGGGAUAGCUCGGCGAAAGCCGGAUUAAUACCGCAUAAGCUCUGAGGAGGAAAGCGGGGGACCGUCUAGAAACUGGAGACUGGGAACUGGACUAAUGAGGUGCGGCUUGGGGGCGCCUGAUUAGGCUGGUGUCUAAAGAAGUUUGGUAGGGUCUAGUUUCUAGACGGCCUCGCGCUGUUGGAGCGGCCGAUGUCGGAUUAGCUAGUUGGUGGGGUAAAGGCCCACCAAGGCGACGAUCCGUAGCUGGUCUGAGAGGAUGAUCAGCCACACUGGAACUGAGACACGGUCCAGACUCCUACGGGAGGCAGCAGUGGGGAAUUUUGGACAAUGGGGGCAACCCUGAUCCAGCCAUUCCGCGUGAGUGAAGAAGGCCUUCGGGUUGUAAAGCUCUUUCGGACGGAACGAAAUGGUUACGGACAAUACCCGUGACUGAUGACGGUACUGUAAGAAGAAGCACCGGCUAACUACGUGCCAGCAGCCGCGGUAAUACGUAGGGUGCGAGCGUUAAUCGGAAUUACUGGGCGUAAAGCGUGCGCAGGCGGCGGCUCAAGUCAGGUGUGAAAUCCCCGGGCUUAACCUGGGAAUUGCGCUUGAAACUAGGCUGCUAGAGUGUGGCAGAGGGGGGUGGAAUUCCACGUGUAGCAGUGAAAUGCGUAGAGAUGUGGAGGAACACCGAUGGCGAAGGCAGCCCCCUGGGUCAACACUGACGCUCAGGCACGAAAGCGUGGGGAGCAAACAGGAUUAGAUACCCUCGUAGUCC
rnacentral:rRNA from 1 species